UUUACUGUACAUGAGUGCCGGCCGUGCUGUCGCCAGAGGCAGCAGGGGGCCAAGAGACAGGACAGGUUGCAGCUUGGUGCCAUCAGGCUAAAGGCUAAAGGCUAAAGGGGCUCAAAGACUGUAAUCCCCGGAUGAUGAAACCAUCAUGGCUGCCACUCGCUGAGCUGUCAAGCUCUCGACAAAAGAAAAGAAACAGCCGUGUGACCGCAAGUGGAGCUGCACUGACGCUGCGCCGGUGCUAACACGCUCAGCGGCUUUAAACCUGAAUGCUCAUGGAUUUGUUGGAUAUUUGCAAAGUUACCCCUGCUGCAAAUAAAAAAACGUGCGCACGCAAGAAGAAUAGAGUUUGGCAAAAACGGCUCCGCCGAAGGAAACGUUCAACUCAGCUCCCAACUAUGCAACGUGAAGCCAAAAAUG